UAAGGUAACAUUUGAGUGCAGCCUCAGCCUCGCCGUUCCCCCGUCCCCUGAGGACGCCUCGCCGUGCCCCGGUGAGCCCGAGCCGUCGGUGCGGCGGGACGGGCACGGCCCGUGGGCGCGGGGGGCAGCGGGGCUGUGGGGCGGCCACAGCAGCGCUCGUUUCGCCGGGGACCACAGGACAUUCCCAUCCCUUUAACUUAGGACCUUGUCCCCUCGCUAACGCUAUUUCCUUUUCUCUUCCCAAAUUUCAGCUCCUCGAAUUUCACUUGCAAGACAUUUCAGGCAGAAAUACUUUCAUACCAGAAAGUAUUUGACGUCUUUUACUGCUUUUCAGAGCUCCUUGAUCAAAAGCAAUGUUUACCCCUGCAACCUCCGCGCUCUAAGGUGCCCUGCGGUGGCCAGCCUGGGGUCACCGAGCCCCUGCUGUGCGCAGGGGAGCAGCGAAGGCGCCGGGGAGCGGGAGAUGCCACCGGGGAGCGGGACCGGAGUCAGCACAUCUGCAAGCUGCUGCCGGGCGAUUAUCAGGCCAUUUCUUCCGUAAUGCAAACCAAGCGCUCCCGUAUCACAUCAAGCCGCUAAUUGCGAAUGAUGCGUUCCGUGUCGGAGCUCUAAGGCCAGCAGGAAGUGCAGACAGCACCAGAGAAAAGGCUUCUUUCACUGAUUCCAGACCCAGACAGCCUAGGAAGACCCAAGAAAAGUCCAGAAGAAAAUCUGCAAAUAAAAUCGUGCUUAACCAUGAAUCUGAGCAUUCCCACUGGAAUAAUCAGAGAAUGUAGCUGCAUGUAUCCAGCAGGUUGCCAUUAAGCACCCAGUGACCUCACUGGUGUAAAUCCUGCAGUGGAAGAUGUGACCCAACUCUCCAAAGCUACAGCCCCACAGGAGUGCCCUGGAACUCCUGUGCCUGACUUCAGUGCACACGUCUAGCUCUCAACAGCCACAGAGCUCUCAGCUAACUGAAAAUCUAUACCUUGUACACUAUAUUAUUGGGAUUUAUUUGGAAAAAUGGUAUCCAGGAGAAGUAUCGCAGCUGAGUUUGGAUGAUGAAAAGAAG